CACGUAGUUAGCCGUGGCUUUCUGAUUAGGUACCGUCAAGAUGUGCACAGUUACUUACACAUUUGUCCUUCCCUAAUAACAGAGUUUUACGAGCCGAAACCCUUCAUCACUCACGCGGCGUUGCUCCGUCAGGCUUUCGCCCAUUGCGGAAGAUUCCCUACUGCUGCCUCCCGUAGGAGUCUGGACCGUGUCUCAGUUCCAGUGUGGCCGAUCACCCUCUCAGGUCGGCUACGUAUCGUCGCCUUGGUAAGCCGUUACCUUACCAACUAGCUAAUACGGCGCGGGUCCAUCUAUAAGUGAUAGCAAAACCAUCUUUCACUUUAGAACCAUGCGGUUCUAAAUGUUAUCCGGUAUUAGCUCCGGUUUCCCGAAGUUAUCCCAGUCUUAUAGGUAGGUUACCCACGUGUUACUCACCCGUCCGCCGCUAACUUCAAAGGAGCAAGCUCCUUAUCUGUUCGCUCGACUUGCAUGUAUUAGGCACGCCGCCAGCGUUCAUCCUGAGCCAGGAUCAAACUCU
rnacentral:rRNA from 1 species